GGACCAGUAGCUCAGUGGUAGAGCACUCCAGCAACGCAUGGAAGGUCCUAGGUUCGAGUCCUAGCUAGUCCA
rnacentral:tRNA from 1 species